rnacentral:tRNA from 1 species
GGAUAUAGCUCAGUUGGUAGAGUGUUUGCCAUGCUUGCACAAGGCCCUGGGUUCGAUACCCAGCACCA